rnacentral:lncRNA from 1 species
UGUGCCGUGCAGCUCUCGUAAGAUCAUCUAAACCAAAGAUCCGGGAAAGAAUGGUCACCGAAGUCAACAGCUCAAAAGAGAUAACCCAACCAUAGUGGAAACUCCACAAGGAAGAGCUCUCUCAGAAGAACCUCGUCCGGCUAUGGUAUAUCACGUCUCAACAUCAUGUUGAUCCAACAUAAGCAGAGACAUGAGACCACGCUAAUCCUAGGUGUAUACUCGGGCCUGGGUUUUAG